UGUACUGAAGAUCAGGGUUUUAGUAGUAUCUCGGGUGUUGCUUGCUUCUCUGGGUGGGGCACAGGGGAAGAAAGAUGAUGAGGAAGUCAGCUGGGGGUCAAUGAAGAGGGACAGAGCCAGGUAGAGAGUGAUCAGAAUGGGAGAAAUGAAGCUGGUGCCUCCAAUGACAAACAGACAACUAACCCACUUGACCUCUGGACUGAGCUGAAAGAACUGAGAGACAUUGUGAUGGAUCAGAGAGUGGAGAUAGCUGUCACAAAACGUCAGGUGGAGGAGUUGAAAAUACCAGGUCUAGGCCUGGAGACAAGACUCAAUGCCAGCGAGGGUAAAGUAGAGGAAACUUGAAGGAGGAAUACAGUGAUCGAGACCAAAAUAACAGCUGCAGAGGCUUAACAGGAGAAGAUGGAGAAAGACAAAGCAGGUACAAGUAAAU